UACGUAGGCAGCGAGCGUUGUUCGGAGUUACUGGGCGUAAAGGGUGUGUAGGCGGUUGCUUAAGUUUGGUGUGAAAUCUCCCGGCUCAACUGGGAGGGUGCGCCGAAUACUGAGUGACUCGAGUGCGGGAGAGGAGAGUGGAAUUCCUGGUGCAGCGGUGAAAUGCGUAGAUAUCAGGAGGAACACCGGUGGUGUAGACGGCUCUCUGGACCGUAACUGACGCUGAGACACGAAAGCGUGGGUAGCAAACAGG
rnacentral:rRNA from 1 species